rnacentral:rRNA from 1 species
CACGUAGGCACCAAGCGUUGUCCGGAUUUAUUGGGCGUAAAGAGCUCGUAGGCGGUUCAGUAAGUCGGGUGUGAAAACUUUGGGCUUAACCCAAAGCGUGCAUCCGAUACUGCUGUGACUUGAGUUCGGUAGGGGAGUGGGGAAUUCCUAGUGUAGCGGUGAAAUGCGCAGAUAUUAGGAGGAACACCAAUUGCGAAGGCAGCUCGCUGGGACGUAACUGACGCUGAGACGCGAAAGCGUGGGGAGCAAACAGG